rfam:Physcomitrella patens subsp. patens PHYPAscaffold_266 genomic scaffold, whole genome shotgun sequence.
AUAUAGGAUUUUUAAGAAUCCACAUAAUACAAUCAAAUAAAUAAAGU